rnacentral:rRNA from 1 species
UACGGAGGGUGCAAGCGUUGUUCGGAAUCACUGGGCGUAAAGGGCGUGUAGGCGGUCCGCUAAGUCUGAUGUGAAAGCCCGGGGCUCACCCCCGGAAGGGCAUUGGAAACUGGCGGACUCGAGUCCUGGAGAGGAAGGUGGAAUUCCUGGUGUAGCGGUGAAAUGCGUAGAUAUCAGGAGGAAUACCGGUGGCGAAGGCGGCCUUCUGGACGGUGACUGACGCUGAGACGCGAAAGCGUGGGGAGCAAACGGG